rnacentral:rRNA from 1 species
AUGUCGGUUAAGUCCGGCAACGAGCGCAACCCACACUCUAGUUGCCAUCAUUCAGUUGGGCACUCUAGGAGAACUGCCGGUGAUAAGCCGGAGGAAGGUGUGGAUGACGUCAAGUCCUCAUGGCCCUUACGGGUUGGGCUACACACGUGCUACAAUGGUGGUGACAAUGGGUUAAUCCCAAAAAGCCAUCUCAGUUCGGAUUGGGGUCUGCAACUCGACCCCAUGAAGUCGGAAUCGCUAGUAAUCGCGUAACAGCAUGACGCGGUGAAUACGUUCCCGGGUCUU